rnacentral:tRNA from 1 species
GCCUUCGUGAUGUACUGAUCAGCACGAUCGGCUCGUAUUCGAGAGGUCCGUGGUUCGAUUCCCGGCGAAAGCU